rnacentral:lncRNA from 1 species
ACUUUCAUUCCUAUGUAGUCAUACAGGGCCUAGCUUCUUCUACCAUGAGUUUUGCUUUAUUUCCAACAAAUCUCUUUUUCCUGAUUGCAAUCUGAAAGUGCAGUUUUGGUUUUAUGUUUUCAUUAUCAAUAGCAGCUCAGGUUAUUCAAUAAUUAAGGAACGGAUUAUCUCCAUCCUUGGGCAGCAUUUUCCAGCUGGAACAGAUUUUAGAUCUCCUUUUCCAGGUAGGAAGAUUGAAGCCCAGAGGUUCAGUGACUGUCCCAAAGUCUCCUACCAAUUUCACAUCUGAGCUGAGACUAGAUUCCACGCUUCUUGGCAUCCAGCCUGGUGGCUUCCUCCUUCACCAAGAGCACUCACCUCUGGAAUGAUGGACUGGAAGCGGUAACCUAGUACAGUUAGACAUGGAGCCUGCAUACAUGUCUGCUGUAAUUAAAGCAGGCCUGAGAAAUAGCGUGUUUUACUUCUAGUCUUAACUCUUAAGUCACAUGCACGUGCCCUUCUAUAGACAGAGUAUCAGGAUGUUUGAAAAGAUGCUAGAGCUUAGUAGGUGGUGAGGCAAAGUUCAGGCAUUGCUGAGAAUGUUAUAGCUUUACCUCAGAACUUCUGAUGUUAAUAAAGGAACAGAUGCUGAAAUUGGCUAAAAUGAGCAGAGGAAACAGGGUGGGCAGAGCCUCAGACUGAGAGCGUACGAGGCAGGGCCUAGGCAAGACACACAGUCUGCUUUCUAAUCUGGAGCCUGGAGGAUGAAAGCUGGGAGAGAAACUGGAAAGGGACCGUGGGGCCCCACGGUAGGCAAAGGGAUGAGUGUUCCAUUGUUUAAGCAGUAGGGGGUCAUUGAAGGGUUUUUUCCCAUUUUUUUUUAUUGUGGUAACAUAUACAUGACAAAAUUGGCCACCUUCACCAUUUUUCAAUAUACAGUAUUAAAGGCACUCAUGAUGCUGUACAGCCAUCACCACCCAGCCGUCUCCACAGAUCUUUUCAUCUUAUAAAGCUGAAGCUCCAUAAUAAAGCAUCGACUCCCCAUCUCCCCUCUCUGAGCCCCUGGCAGCCCCUGUUGUACCCCUGUCUCCGUGAAUGUGACUCUACUCUAAGUAUCUCAUAUAAGUGGCAGGACACAGUGUUUGUCUCCGUGGAGGAUGUUUAAGCAUGUCUUCAGAGCUUCGGAACGUUUCAAGUGGCAGCAGUAGGAUGACUUCAGGAUGCAAAGAGGUCAGAGAAGGGGAUUCCUGGGCCACGGAAGGUCACAUGAGGAGCUGUUUUGGAAGAAGGUUCUCCACCUGCUUCCUGAGACCACUUCUUCGUGCUCGAUUCUGAGCUCCUGAAAUAGAGGAGAUAAACUUUGUAAUGUCCAAGCUGUAAGCACCAAUUUCUGUUUGAGUGAUGAUGUUUACAGUGUAGUUAAGCCAACCCGAGUGCUAAGUAUCCACAGGGAGUUGCCUGGCCCACUGGUGUCAUCCUGGGGCCCUCCUCAGGCAGCUGUAGUGAACCCCCUCGCUCCUCAAAGCACAAGGCCUGAGCCAUGACUUUCAUACACUCUGACCUUGACCUGGACUUGACUUAUGGAGUCCUCAGGCCUGUGUCCGCCACACAGUCCUCAGGGGCUUCUCCUGGACUUUCCAAGAGGGAUCAGACCGGCCACUGGGGGUCACAGACAGAGAAACCAAAGGGAAGGAGCCCACCACCCUCAAGGCGUGGCUGUCCUGGAGAGUGGCGCCCAGUGGGAGGCAGUCUGGAGUAAUGAGAGGAAGGGGGACUGUGGAUUUAGACCCACCUGUGUGAAUUUCACUUUUGCCAUUUAACAGCUAUGGGCUGGCUAAAUGGGGGUGUCGGGAGGGCCAAAAGAGAUGCUAAGGAUGGCUGCCGAUCCUCCAGCAUGUGCAAGCCCUCGGGCGAGUGGUCUGUGGCAUACUUUCUUAUCCACAAUUUUAUGGAACACUCACAGCUCUCCUGCAUAUUAUAUGGUUGCCUUUACUCAUUUAUAACUGAAGCAGCAAAAGUUUCACCUGGGCAGCAUGCUUAAGGUUUCAAAUACCAGCAGUAUCAGAGAUUUGACACGCCUGUACCUGUCUUUCCCCUGCAUCACUGGCCUUUAAGUACCUGUGUGGGCCGUGGAGCUGGAAGGAUGGGCUAGUCUGGUUGAUCAAAUUGAGGCCCCGUGUCUGUCCUUGGGAUGUGUAUGUGGUGGUGGUAACAAAGGUGGGUGGAGUGCUGGUGGUGGCCAGUGUACUUGGCGGCACAUCCAGUCCACACAGAAGAAACUUCGGAUUCGUUUCCACUGUGCCACGCACGACAGGAACUCCUCAUAUCUGCUUUAUAGUAACUUUCUCGCUGACUGAUUUUACUCACUUCCUAGCGCUUGACACAGAAACCACAAAGAACUACCUAAAAAAGGAAAACACUGAUUUUACACGCCAGUAAAAAAGUACAUUUUGAGGAAAUUAAAAAAAAAGCCCAAAAAACCCAGUGGCUACCCUACAUUGUAAAUUCUAAA